rnacentral:rRNA from 1 species
AGCUCCAAUAGCGUAUCUUAAGGUUGUUGUGGUUAAAAAGCUCGUAGUUGGAUCUCGGCAGGCUUGGGGCGGUUUGCUUGCUAGUAUUACUGCCCUAUAGUCUGUAGUUUUGCCAGAGGUUUUAGGGUGCUCUUAAUCGAGUGUCACUGAGUGCUGACAGGUUUACUUUGAAAAAAUUAGGGUGCUUAAGGCAGGCUGUUAUGCUCGAAUAUUUGUGCAUGGAAUAAUAGAAUAGGAUGUUGAUCUUAUUUUGUUGGUUUUCGAGACUUGACAUAAUGAUUAAUAGGGACAGUCGGGGGCAUUUGUAUUCAAACGACAGAGGUGAAAUUCUUGGACCGUUUGAAGACAAACUACUGCGAAAGCAUUUGCCAAGAAUGUUU